GGCAGCAGUGGGGAAUUUUGGACAAUGGGCGAAAGCAUGAUCCAGCAAUGCCGCGUGUGUGAAGAAGGCCUUCGGGUUGUAAAGCACUUUUGUCCGGAAAGAAAACCUCCGCCCUAAUAUGGUGGGGGGAUGACGGUACCGGAAGAAUAAGCACCGGCUAACUACGUGCCAGCAGCCGCGGUAAUACGUAGGGUGCAAGCGUUAAUCGGAAUUACUGGGCGUAAAGCGUGCGCAGGCGGUCCGCUAAGACAGAUGUGAAAUCCCCGGGCUUAACCUGGGAACUGCAUUUGUGACUGGCGGGCUAGAGUAUGGCAGAGGGGGGUAGAAUUCCACGUGUAGCAGUGAAAUGCGUAGAGAUGUGGAGGAAUACCGAUGGCGAAGGCAGCCCCCUGGGCCAAUACUGACGCUCAUGCACGAAAGCGUGGGGAGCAAACAGGAUUAGAUACCCUGGUAGUCCACGCCCUAAACGAUGUCAACUAGUUGUUGGGGAUUCAUUUCCUUAGUAACGUAGCUAACGCGUGAAGUUGACCGCCUGGGGAGUACGGUCGCAAGAUUAAAACUCAAAGGAAUUGACGGGGACCCGCACAAGCGGUGGAUGAUGUGGAUUAAUUCGAUGCAACGCGAAAAACCUUACCUACCCUUGACAUGUAUGGAACCCUGCUGAGAGGUGGGGGUGCCCGAAAGGGAGCCAUAACACAGGUGCUGCAUG
rnacentral:rRNA from 1 species